GCCCGGGUGGUGGAAUUGGUAGACACGCAAGACUUAAAAUCUUGUGACCAUUGAGGUCGUGCCGGUUCGACCCCGGCCCCGGGUA
rnacentral:tRNA from 1 species